UUCAAAAUCCUGUAUCUGCUCAUGACCAGGGAUGAACCAUGCCCAACAAGUGAUGUGAGCAACGCAACCUGGAAUCUAGCCCCAGGGAGUACCACAAGUGGCAGAGCCCAGGACCCAAUGCCGUACAGGCAGCACAGUCCAGGACCCAGUCUCAGCCAAGUGCUGCACACAGCACGGGGCUAGCUGGCACAGGAUGUCGGUGAUCAGGGCAGCACUAGGGGCAGGAUUAUCUUACUGGUCAUAUAUUUGACACCCCCAUUUUAAAGCUAAGCAUGUGUUUAGGUUUUUCAGAGAUCAAAUACCUGCACAGUUGUAUCAGAUACGUGAAUGGUUGGAAACUUGGCAGCCCAUUGGACUUAAAGAUUGUCUCUAUGUUUAUAAAACCUGUAUUCUAGAAUGCAGUUUGAGUGCUGCGAAGGGAGAACCAAGAAAUGUUCCCAAUUUUGUAUCCAGCUUGAAGGCCAUUUUGAGAAUUCUCAGCCUAUACCUCAUGAUGAACAAAGGUCAAGUCAAUUUUUCAGGACAAAGAUCAGGAAUAAAAAAGGUUUCUUUGUGUUAUAUGAUAGAUGGUAAGUGCCACCAUUUCCUCACUAUAUAAAAUUUCAUCUGCACUGACAUUGCAAUUCACAGUUACACUAGAAGCUGUGCUUCAGUUUGUCUUUGCAUUGCAUAUAACCUUUACCUCUUGACAGUCUUUAAAUGUGUAAAAGGUUGGUGCAAAGAGGAUGGCUACAAACGGCUCUCUGUGUCCGCUGGAAAUAAGAUAAGAAGUAUGUGCUUAAUUUGCAAAAAGGAAGACUUAGGUCAGAUGUCAGGAAAAACUUUCUACCUGCUCUGGACUACCUGGUGAUCGAUGUUCAUGAACUAGCUGCAGUUAGUGAAAGGAGAACUGAAAGACUCUGCAGCCCCUCAGUUGGUGAGCUGCCUGCCUUUCUUGUCACUGAAGGGGGUCUGAACUCUGGUUUCAUGAUCGCAAACUGCACAGCUGCAGCCCUGGUUUCUGAGAAUAAAGCCUUGUGCCACCCCUCUUCUGUGGAUUCUCUCUCAACCAGUGCUGCUACAGAGGAUCAUGUGUCCAUGGGAGGAUGGGCUGCAAGAAAAGCCUUGAGAGUUAUUGAACAUGUUGAACAAG